rnacentral:rRNA from 1 species
UACGUAGGGUGCGAGCGUUAAUCGGAAUUACUGGGCGUAAAGCGUGCGCAGGCGGCUUUGCAAGACAGAUGUGAAAUCCCCGGGCUCAACCUGGGAACUGCAUUUGUGACUACAAGGCUAGAGUACGGCAGAGGGGGAUGGAAUUCCGCGUGUAGCAGUGAAAUGCGUAGAUAUGCGGAGGAACACCAAUGGCGAAGGCAAUCCCCUGGGCCUGUACUGACGCUCAUGCACGAAAGCGUGGGGAGCAAACAGG